GAUGAAGAACGUAGCGAAAUGCGAUAAGUAAUGUGAAUUGCAGAAUUCAGUGAAUCAUCGAAUCUUUGAACGCACAUUGCGCCCGCCAGUAUUCUGGCGGGCAUGCCUGUCCGAGCGUCAUUUCAACCCUCAAGCCCCCGGGCUUGGUGUUGGAGAUCGGCGAGCCCCCCGGGGCGCGCCGUCUCCCAAAUAUAGUGGCGGUCCCGCUGUAGCUUCCUCUGCGUAGUAGCACACCUCGCACUGGGAAACAGCGUGGCCACGCCGUAAAACCCCCCACUUCUGAAAGGUUGACCUCGGAUCAGGUAGGAAUACCCGCUGAACUUAAGCAUAUCAAUAAGCGGAG
rnacentral:misc_RNA from 1 species